ACCUCGGUAGUCUAAAGGCAUAGGACGCUUGCACGGAAUGCAAGAGAUCCGGGUUCGACUUCCGGUCGAGGUA
rnacentral:tRNA from 1 species